CUGACUUUUCCACCUUAUUUGAGACUCUUUACUUUCGCCUCCUUGGAGGUCGUUUUCAUCAUUUUGGUUUCUCAUUGAACGCUAUGGCUAUAGACACAUAUACACCGAUCCUACUAAUAACCAUUGCUGUCGUUAUAUGUAGUUUUAUGCUUUACGUCUUCUUUAAAUACAUAGUUGCUUUUCUGUAUCUUUGUUCAUCUUCCACAUGCAUUUUCUUUUGUCUCUUGACUUACUUGAAAAUGACUUUGGUUCAACUACAUACAAUGCAGAUUUUGACGAUGAUGAUAUAAAUGUGCAUUUUUCCCAAGAUGAGAUUUCACGAGUUGGGGCCUGCAGUAUUGUCAAUGUCAAGAAUCAAUAUGUCAGGCCUUCUAAUGAAGAUCCACUUCAAGCUUUAAUCCAGGACAUGUUUUUGGAUAAAGCAGAAUUCAGUCUCCUUCUUUUCAGUUAUUAUAUUUGCAUGAUCGAAUUGAAAGUUUUCAACUUUAGCUGAAACAAAUCUCAAACCGCAACGCACAAAAAGUCACAAGAUAAGAAUCUGAGGAGAGAGAAGGGCCUGAGGAAUCUGAAACUAGAGCCGCUUGAGUCCAGAGCUAGGGGAAAGAGAAUGUGAACCGGUUGAUAAUGAUCGUCCAACGACAGUUUGAUAGAGAGACCAUAUAAGCUUUACUCAGAUCUCUUCUCUCUGUCUAUGCUUUACGGUUCUGUCAUUUGUGGAGGAAGGGAGUAAUGAUUACCCUCGGAUUUGGAGUUUAUUUACGUCUUUGCCAUCUGAUUUUAGCUUUACGUUUCUCUUUUUCUGGCAGACCUCACCAACUGCAGAGAAAUUUAAGGUUGAGUGUUUUGAUGAAGCCUGAGCUUGGUGGGGACUGGAUACAUUCUCUUUUUGCAGUAUAUAUGAAGAGGGAUCGUUUUUAGACCGGUCCAUCAAGUAUUUCUCUGAUUGCAAUUGGUUUAAAUGAAAUCAAGAAUAGAGGCUUACACCGAGGUAGAGGAAAUGACAUGUUUGUAAUGUGGUUGGUCAUUUUUUAUUUAUCUAUUUGUUAGGUUUUUCAGAAGAGAGAGUACUAGAGAAGCAAAAGAAACAUGAAGUUUUGUUAGGAUUAUUGAAAGCAGAAAUUAUCUGCAAGUCAAACAGCGUAUGGAUUACUCAGGAUUUUCAAACAUUUCGUUAUGAACUUUAGUUACUUCGUAUCAAAUACCAUGUUAAAUUUUAGGGUUAUCAUUCUUGGAUUCUAUUGGACUAUUUCUUUGGUUA